AUCAAGAAGCGGUUCAAGGAGUACCGCUCCUUGUUACAUAAGCGGUACAAGCGGUGCAUGAGCCAUGAGGAGGGCGCACUGUCUGCACCACCGCACGUGACCCGUAAUGACUGGCAGAUACUCUGCGAUAGAUUUUCGUCUGAUUCUUUUCAGAAGAGGAGCAAAAUAAAUUCUGAUAAUAGGAGAAAGUUAGAAGUGAACCACGUAGCUGGUUCAAAGUCAUUUGUACAAAUUUGUCACGACAUGAUAAGAAACUACUAGUAAUUAUUAAGUUGAUAUAUUCUUUCCAUGCAUUUAUAUUAACUCUAUUGUCAUUUUGAUUGCGCAAUGAGAUUCCGUCACUGGCCAGGAGCCCGGACCAGUAGACCUCUAUAGAGGGACUCACUGUCGGCAGGCGACAGGAUCUUGGGUACAUCCUAGAGCCGGCGAGAUUUAGGCAGUGAUGGACACCUUACGCAGUCAGCCCACUCCCAAUGGUACUCAGC